ACUCACAAUGGUUCAUUCAGGAAUUUUCAAAAUUACAUCAGCACAAAAAACAGUAAGACAUCCAGUAGCAACGGUACUUAGACUGUUUUGUUUUUGAGACAUUCUGACUGUGUAGCUCCUUGGGCCUCAAACUAAAUGCUCUUCUUUCCUCAGCCUCCUCAGUGCUGGGAUGGCAUGACUCUGGGUGGUGACAGCUGGCAGUGUCUCUCAGCCAGCCUCUGGUCGGUACCAUCUUUCAGGGAGCUGGUUUGCGGAGUUCAGUGGGUUAGCUACAUUAAACACACUUUCAGCGGGGGCUGUGCUCACUUCCCACGUGCUUAGUGAGACACGCAUCUACCAAGAGCCUCUGCACUUGAACAGAGCGGCGACAGGGGCCUCGGUGUGUCGGCAUAUCCUUUGCUGGAUUCUUAAAACGCGCCAGUCAAGUGGCCUUCGGCAUCUAACUCACCCCCUGUACUAGAGGCAGGCUGCAGCUGGUGAGGGAGCCUGCCGGAUUUCCCAAGUGUUCAAGACGCUGGGGACAAAAAGCGCUCCCCUGCUAGCAUGCAACUUCUGAAUAACUCAACACUCACUGAAGUACCUAACUUGCAAAAGCAGGCCCCACGGACUGGAGCUGUGCUUUUCGGGAAUGCGGGGAUGGAGUGGAGGAAGCCAUCGUAAACGGACCAUCUAGACGCAAGCCAGCGCCUCGACGCACAUUGCAGUUGGUGCUUCGGAUUGUCAGUGUUUCAAAGGGCUUGUUUCCCCGAGACAAGAUUUUCUUGUUCUCUUUUUUUACCUUUUUGGCUGGUAGCAAUAGGAUGGCAUGUUGUUAUUUUCCAAGUUGCCAAGAUUAAUGCUCAUUUUCUGGUUAAUUAGAAUCUUUUAAAUAAAAACACUCCAAGUUCAGCCCAUUGUUGCGCUCAUUACCAUUUCUGUAGUAUCUUUGCAGGCAGCUAUUAUGCAAGACUGCGGUAAUUUUAACACAGCCCUUUUAUUCUGUUUGUCUUUAUUGAAGACUUGGUGCUCAUUAUUGGAUUGUCUCCUGACAGCCCAGAAUACUCCCCCAGACUCUCCUCCUGAACUGUGAGAAUUCUAUUUUGCAUCCUCAAGGGCCUUCCCGGAUCAGUGCCUCCCAUUGGCCAAGCCAAGCCAGGAAGCCACAGGGGCCUCAGCAGGGAAGUUGCAAGGACAGCAUCCAGAGGCAGCCAGAGGAACAACAUGGCCGCAAACCGGUCAGCAAUCAGACUGAGCACACUUGCCUGAGACUGUCAGGGCCUCCAUGGGCUCAUCACUGAAGCUAGAGGGUUUAAAGAAGCCAAGGCAGAAAAUGACCCUUUCUGUUCGUCGAUUUGUCACAAACACAGUCAAAGCAGGUCACGUCCAUUUCCGAAGCAGCUCUUUAGGGACCAGCUUGAUGGAUGAUCACAGCUGACAUGAUCUCCCCGCACUCUGCCAUUGUCUCAGAGGAUAAGUCCAAGUCCCUUACCCUACGUGCUCACAAUCUCCAUGGACACCUAUUCUGCUUCUUGGCCAUGAGCAUCGAUGAAGAACCUGCUAGUGUCCCAAAUCCUGAGAUUCAUUGCCAUUGCCUUAGUCCUUAGUCAGGAAACCAUGACUCCAAACUGUAGCAGAUGCAGCUGGGAAACAGAACUCUGAGAUGGUACAGUGGUUUCCACAUUAUCCCCAAGGAAAAAGGAAACACUCAUAGAUCUUGAAAAGAAAACUAUUUGGAACUAUUCAUCACAAGCCUUUAGAAAGUGAAUAGCCUCCCGUCCAAGAUCUUGGGGCAGUCCUGCUGAGGAGAGGGAGGAGAGAUUGUAGGAGCCAGGGGGGUGGGGAUAUCACAGGAAAACCCACAGAAAUGGCUUGCCUGGCUCAUGGGAACUUACAGAGUCUGAGCCAACAACCAGAAAGCCUGCACGGGACUUAUAUAGGCCUUCUGCGUAUAUGAGACAGCUGUGUAGCUUGAUCUGUAUGUGGGACUCCUAGUAAUUGGAGCAGGGGCUAUCCCUGGUGCUUUGACUGGCUUUCGAGGGUUGUGGGAUGUUGUACAUUGGGAGCUUUUCCUCAUGCUGGAUGGACUACUGCCUUGCCCAGACUGAAGACAGGGGGAGGCGCUUGGUCUUAUGGCAACUUGAUAGGCCAUGCUUUGCUGAUGUUCA